AUUGAACGCUGGCGGCAUGCUUUACACAUGCAAGUCGAACGGUAACAGGCCGCAAGGUGCUGACGAGUGGCGAACGGGUGAGUAAUGCAUCGGAACGUGCCCAGUCGUGGGGGAUAACGCAGCGAAAGCUGCGCUAAUACCGCAUACGAUCUAUGGAUGAAAGCGGGGGACCGUAAGGCCUCGCGCGAUUGGAGCGGCCGAUGUCAGAUUAGGUAGUUGGUGGGGUAAAGGCUCACCAAGCCAACGAUCUGUAGCUGGUCUGAGAGGACGACCAGCCACACUGGGACUGAGACACGGCCCAGACUCCUACGGAGGCAGCAGUGGGGAAUUUUGGACAAUGGGCGCAAGCCUGAUCCAGCAAUGCCGCGUGCAGGAAGAAGGCCUUCGGGUUGUAACUGCUUUGUACGGUAACGAAAAGGACUCUGGUUAAUACCUGGGCGACAUGACGGUACCGUAAGAAUAAG
rnacentral:rRNA from 1 species